UCAGGAAGUUGGCUUAGAAGCAGCCAUCCUUCAAAGAAAGCGUAAUAGCUCACUGGUCGAGUCCUUCUGCGCGGAAGAUGUAACGGGGCUAAGCUGUUAACCGAAGCCGCGGAUGCGCUGGUUAUCCAGUGCGUGGUAGGGGAGCGUUCUGUAAGUCUGCGAAGGCGGUUCGAGAGGACUGCUGGAGAUAUCAGAAGUGCGAAUGCUGACAUGAGUAACGUUAAAGCAGGUGAAAAGCCUGCUCGCCGUAAGCCCAAGGAUUCCUGCUCUACGUUCAUCGGAGCAGGGUGAGUCGGCUCCUAAGGUCAGGCCGAAAGGCGUAGCCGAUGGGAAUCAGGUUAAUAUUCCUGAACCUGCGUCAGAUGCGAUGGGGGGACGGAGCAUGGAAGAUCAUCCGGGUGUUGGAAGUCCCGGUUGUUUAGCGUAGGAGGUCUGCAGGCAAAUCCGCAGACGCAUCUCCAAGGCAAAGACACGUGCCGCCACGGCGGCGAAGUGAUCGGAAGUGCUUCCAAGAAAAGCCUCUAAGCUUCAGUCUGAUGCGGACCGUACCGCAAACCGACACUGGUGGGCGAGCUGAAUAUGCUCAGGCGCUUGAGAGAACUCAGGAGAAGGAACUCGGCAAAUUGACACCGUAACUUCGGGAUAAGGUGUGCCUUGGUAGCGUGAAGGAAGAAACAUCCGGAGCGUGAAGAGGUCUCAGAGAAUCGGUGGCUGCGACUGUUUACUAAAAACACAGCACUCUGCAAAGACGAAAGUCGACGUAUAGGGUGUGAUGCCUGCCCGGUGCUGGAAGAUUAAUUGAUGGGGUGCAAGCUCCUGAUCGAAGUCCCAGUAAACGGCGGCCGUAACUAUAACGGUCCUAAGGUAGCGAAAUUCCUUGUCGGGCAAGUUCCGACCUGCACGAAUGGCAUAACGAUGGCCACACUGUCUCCUCCUGAGACUCAGUGAAGUUGAAGUGUUUGUGAUGAUGCAAUCUCCCCGCGGCUAGACGGAAAGACCCCAUGAACCUUUACUGUAGCUUUGCAUUGGACUUUGAACCGAUCUGUGUAGGAUAGGCGGGAGACUGUGAAGCGAGGACGCCAGUUCUCGCGGAGUCGUCCUUGAAAUACCGCCCUGAUUUGUUUGAGGUUCUAACCUAGGUCAGUCAUCCUGAUCGGGGACCGUGCAUGGUAGGCAGUUUGACUGGGGCGGUCUCCUCCUAAAGGGUAACGGAGGAGUGCGAAGGUACGCUAGGUACGGUCGGAAAUCGUGCUGAUAGUGCAAUGGCAAAAGCGUGCUUGACUGCGAGACCGACAAGUCGAGCAGAUACGAAAGUAGGUCAUAGUGAUCCGGUGGCUCUGUAUGGAAGGGCCAUCGCUCAACGGAUAAAAGGUACUCUGGGGAUAACAGGCUGAUACCGCCCAAGAGUUCAUAUCGACGGCGGUGUUUGGCACCUCGAUGUCGGCUCAUCUCAUCCUGGGGCUGUAGCCGGUCCCAAGGGUAUGGCUGUUCGCCAUUUAAAGAGGUACGUGAGCUGGGUUUAAAACGUCGUGAGACAGUUUUGUCCCUAUCUGCCGUGGGCGUUGGAAGAUUGACGGGGGCUGCUCCUAGUACGAGAGGACCGGAGUGGACUGACCUCUGGUGUACCGGUUGUCACGCCAGUGGCAUCGCCGGGUAGCUAUGUCGGGAAGAGAUAACCGCUGAAAGCAUCUAAGCGGGAAACUUGCCUGAAGAUAAGUCUUCCUGGAGGCUUGACCUCCCUGAAGAGUCGUUCGAGACCAGGACGUUGAUAGGUUGGGUGUGUAAGCGCUGUGAGGCGUUGAGCUAACCAAUACUAAUUGCUCGUGCAGCUUGAUCC
rnacentral:rRNA from 1 species